CGGACGGGUGAGUAAUGUCUGGGAAACUGCCCGAUGGAGGGGGAUAACUACUGGAAACGGUAGCUAAUACCGCAUAACGUCGCAAGACCAAAGAGGGGGACCUUCGGGCCUCUUGCCAUCGGAUGUGCCCAUAUGGGAUUAGCUAGUAGGUAAGGUAACGGCUUACCUAGGCGACGAUCCCUAGCUGGUCUGAGAGGAUGAUCAGCCACACUGGAACUGAGACACGGUCCAG
rnacentral:rRNA from 1 species